GGCAGCACAACGACAUCAAUCACAAUGGAGUGGUAUCUUCGAUUAGGGUUAUUAGUGGCCGGAAUUAGGUUAAGGAUGCGACUUUUGGCCAGAAUCCUCUUCAGCAUCAAGUCAAUAUAGUUAUGCUAUUGUUAAGGAAAAUAUGGUAUCCACUCAAUCACCAGAUGCCAAAAUCAUCAAAGAAGGGUUGUAAUUAGGGCUCGAAACCUUCGAGCGGCUGCUGGGUUUAUUCCG
rnacentral:lncRNA from 1 species